ensembl:lncRNA
ACUGACCAUGGGAUGUGGAAAUGAAUUCUAUUCCUGGUAGACCUACUGUGUUGUGGAGCCAUCCUAUUUCCAGUAGUAUGCUAUUAUCCUAGCAAAGCUGAAGCUGUUCAGACAUUACUACAUUAUGCUGUUGGAUGAAAUGGCAACGUUUGUGUUCUUUGUUCUUACGGGGUACAAGUUCUGUCCGGCAACCCUUACCUACAUCUCUCUUAGGACGAUGAAGAUGACUUGAAGGUGGAAGCUGUGGUGGCUACUUCAGGGGUGAUGAAAAGCAGGGAGAAGGUCAAGAAAGCGGUAAAUGUUCAGCAGAACCCGGGCACAAGUGGAAGAACACAGUACGAGGGGCCGAUUCCCCUGGACCAAAGCAGCACUUUCCGAGAAAAUGUUACUGUACUAAUACUACGCCGUGGAAAGGGAGCAACCUGAGCUUCCCAACGCUGGGACUGCAGACUGGGGGUGUGGGGGGGAGCAAAACGUUGCAAAAAGCUAAUUAUUCCUCUUUUAAGGAUAUGGGCUUAUUAUGGGAUAGUGUUACACACAAGGAAUCUGGAGCGUUCUUAGGGAUGCUGGGUGGCUUAUUUGCUUCACACACACACACACACACACACACACACACACCCCUCUUUCUGGAACUAUUAGGACUUCUAAAUUGUUUGCAGUUGUGUUCUCUGGGGUGUGUAAUAUCAAUGUGAAGAGUAUAGUGUGUGUGGGUAAAGUAGAUAUUUAUAUAAUGCAUAUACACACAUGCUGUGUGACACCUGCGCUGGAAAUUAUGAAGUGUCAUGAAAGGUGGGGAAGUGGGAGGGGCCAUCAGAGGAGCUCGUUCUUGUGGAAUGAAAAGGUGGGAGAACCGCUGAAAGAAUUCUGUGACUAGCCUCUACUACAGCACAAGUCUCCCCUCUUUUUAUAUUGAGCCAUAUUGCCUCUCUUGCGGGUGGCCUCUUGCUUCUAGCUAGGAUGUGUAGCAUCAAUGAGACUGCUGCCUAAGCAGUUGAAUCAGUCAGGAAGGCAUAUAGACUGCAGCUACCAGAUACCAGGCCUUCUUCUUCAUGAAGAGAUCUGGACAUUCAGUGUUGACGGCGCUUCUACAGAAGAAUGGCAGUGUCGGGUUCCAUCAUGUAAAUGUGCUAGCACCUCUCAGAUCACAAACCCACUAGGGAUCGGAUUUGGUGAAUGACAGUUGCAGAACUCAAGUCUCCAGGGACUGGAGAAUUGGAACCACUGGGAGCUUUGUCCUUUCAAUAAAGACUGGAACAGGAUGCA